rnacentral:tRNA from 1 species
UCUUCAAUAGCUCAGUUGGUAGAGCAGACGGCUGUUAACCGUCAGGUCGUUGGUUCAAGUCCAUCUUGGGGAG